UACGUAGGGGGCAAGCGUUGUCCGGAUUUAUUGGGCGUAAAGAGCGUGUAGGCGGCCAUACAGGUCCGUUGUGAAAACUCGAGGCUUAACCUCGAGACGUCGAUGGAAACCGUAUGGCUAGAGUCCGGAAGAGGAGAGUGGAAUUCCUGGUGUAGCGGUGAAAUGCGCAGAUAUCAGGAAGAACACGCGGGGCGAAGGCGGCGCUGUGGGACGGUACUGACGCUGAGACGCGAAAGCGUGGGGAGCGAACAGG
rnacentral:rRNA from 1 species